rnacentral:rRNA from 1 species
AUUGAACGCUGGCGGCAGGCCUAACACAUGCAAGUCGAGCGGAUGAAGGGAGCUUGCUCCUGGAUUCAGCGGCGGACGGGUGAGUAAUGCCUAGGAAUCUGCCUGGUAGUGGGGGAUAACGUCCGGAAACGGGCGCUAAUACCGCAUACGUCCUAGGGAGAAAGUGGGGGAUCUUCGGACCUCACGCUAUCAGAUGAGCCUAGGUCGGAUUAGCUAGUUGGUGGGGUAAAGGCCUACCAAGGCGACGAUCCGUAACUGGUCUGAGAGGAUGAUCAGUCACACUGGAACUGAGACACGGUCCAGACUCCUACGGGAGGCAGCAGUGGGGAAUAUUGGACAAUGGGCGAAAGCCUGAUCCAGCCAUGCCGCGUGUGUGAAGAAGGUCUUCGGAUUGUAAAGCACUUUAAGUUGGGAGGAAGGGCAGUAAGUUAAUACCUUGCUGUUUUGACGUUACCAACAGAAUAAGCACCGGCUAACUUCGUG